rnacentral:tRNA from 1 species
AGGCUCUGGGGUGUCACACGUAAGAUUGCAAAUCUUAAGAAGCAAGUAAUUUUGCCGGAGCUUC